CUUGCGAUAGCUCAGUUGGUAGAGUGGAGGACCGUAGUUCCUCAGGUUGUUGGUACGAACCCAUCUCGCAAGA